AUUGAACGCUGGCGGAAUGCCUAACACAUGCAAGUCGAGCGGAUGACGGGAGCUUGCUCCUUGAUUCAGCGGCGGACGGGUGAGUAAUGCCUAGGAAUCUGCCUGGUAGUGGGGGACAACGUUUCGAAAGGAACGCUAAUACCGCAUACGUCCUACGGGAGAAAGCAGGGGACCUUCGGGCCUUGCGCUAUCAGAUGAGCCUAGGUCGGAUUAGCUAGUUGGUGGGGUAAUGGCUCACCAAGGCGACGAUCCGUAACUGGUCUGAGAGGAUGAUCAGUCACACUGGAACUGAGACACGGUCCAGACUCCUACGGGAGGCAGCAGUGGGGAAUAUUGGACAAUGGGCGAAAGCCUGAUCCAGCCAUGCCGCGUGUGUGAAGAAGGUCUUCGGAUUGUAAAGCACUUUAAGUUGGGAGGAAGGGCAGUAAGUUAAUACCUUGCUGUUUUGACGUUACCGACAGAAUAAGCACCGGCUAACUCUGUGCCAGCAGCCGCCGUAA
rnacentral:rRNA from 1 species